rnacentral:rRNA from 1 species
AGAGUUUGAUCAUGGCUCAGAACGAACGCUGGCGGCAUGCCUAACACAUGCAAGUCGAACGCGUGGUUUCGGCCACGAGUGGCGCACGGGUGAGUAGCGCGUGGGAACCUGCCUUUGGGUUCGGGAUAACCGCGGGAAACUGCGGCUAAUACCGGAUGUCCCCUGUGGGGGAAAGAUUUAUCGCCCGAAGAGGGGCCCGC